GACACCAUCGGCCUAGAUUUCCUCAUUUUACUAAUGAUUCUCCCAUCACUUGACUGGUCAGGAUCUUGGGAUGAUGUCUUCAAGGUUUCAGUUGGCCUCUAUCUGGUAGGAACUGUUGUCUGGAACUUCUUCUCUACUGGAGAGAAAAUUCUGGAUUGACCAUUAGCAUAAAUAACUGAUUAUAUCUGUGGGCUAGCUUUUGCCGACAUACAUGACAUGGAAAGAGAUCUGGGAGAUAAAAUUAAGAGA